rnacentral:rRNA from 1 species
GACGAACGCUGGCGGCGUGCUUAACACAUGCAAGUCGAACGAUGAAGCCGGAGCUUGCUCCGGUGGAUUAGUGGCGAACGGGUGAGUAACACGUGAGCAAUCUGCCCUUGACUCUGGGAUAACUGCGGGAAACUGUAGCUAAUACCGGAUACGACACCUUGGGGCAUCCCAGGGUGUGGAAAGAAUUUCGGUCAAGGAUGAGCUCGCGGCCUAUCAGCUAGUUGGUGAGGCAAUGGCUCACCAAGGCGACGACGGGUAGCCGGCCUGAGAGGGUGACCGGCAACACUGGAACUGGGACACGGUCCAGACUCCUACGGGAGGGAGCAGUGGGGAAUAUUGCACAAUGGGCGAAAGCCCGAUGCAGCAACGCCGCGGGAGGGAUGAAGGCCUUCGGGUUGUAAACCUCUUUUAGCAGGGAAGAAGCGAAAGUGACGGUACCUGCAGAAAAAGCACCGGCUAACCACGUGCCAGCCGCCGCAGUAA